rnacentral:rRNA from 1 species
UACGGAGGGGGCUAGCGUUUGUUCGGAAUUACUGGGCGUAAAGCGCGCGUAGGCGGCUUUGUAAGUUAGAGGUGAAAGCCCGGAGCUCAACUCCGGAACUGCCUUUAAGACUGCAUCGCUAGAAUUGUGGAGAGGUAAGUGGAAUUCCGAGUGUAGAGGUGAAAUUCGUAGAUAUUCGGAAGAACACCAGUGGCGAAGGCGACUUACUGGACACAUAUUGACGCUGAGGUGCGAAAGCGUGGGGAGCAAACAGG